rnacentral:rRNA from 1 species
ACGCUCGACACCUACGGAGGCAGCAGUGGGGAAUAUUGCACAAUGGGGGAAACCCUGAUGCAGCGACGCCGCGUGAGGGAAGAAGGUUUUCGGAUUGUAAACCUCUGUCCUUGGUGAAGAAGGAAGACGGUAGCCAAGGAGGAAGCCACGGCUAACUACGUGCCUGCAGCCGCGGUAAUCUGAGCGGGCUGGCAAGGC